rnacentral:rRNA from 1 species
GACGAACGCUGGCGGCGUGCUUAACACAUGCAAGUCGAACGGAAAGGCCCUGCUUUUGUGGGGUGCUCGAGUGGCGAACGGGUGAGUAACACGUGAGUAACCUGCCCUUGACUUUGGGAUAACUUCAGGAAACUGGGGCUAAUACCGGAUAGGAGCUCCUGCUGCAUGGUGGGGGUUGGAAAGUUUCGGCGGUUGGGGAUGGACUCGCGGCUUAUCAGCUUGUUGGUGGGGUAGUGGCUUACCAAGGCUUUGACGGGUAGCCGGCAUGAGAGGGUGACCGGCCACAUUGGGACUGAGAGACGGCCCAGACUCCUACGGGAGGCAGCAGUGGGGAAUAUUGCACAAUGGGCGGAAGCCUGAUGCAGAAACGCCGCGUGCGGGAUGACGGCCUUCGGGUUGUAAACCGCUUUCGCCUGUGACGAAGCGUGAGUGACGGUAAUGGGUAAAGAAGCACCGGCUAACUACGUG